rnacentral:rRNA from 1 species
UACGUAGGCAGCAAGCGUUGUUCGGAAUUACUGGGCGUAAAGAGUGUGUAGGCGGUGCUCUAAGUUCGGUGUGAAAUCUCCCGGCUUAACUGGGAGGGUGCGCCGGAAACUGGAGUGCUCGAGCGUGGGAGAGGAAAGCGGAAGUUCCUGGUGUAGCGGUGAAAUGCGUAGAUAUCAGGAGGAACACCUGCGGUGUAGACGGCUUUCUGGACCAUUGCUGACGCUGAGACACGAAAGCGUGGGUAGCAAACAGG